GGAAGAAACUUUUUCAGUAAAUGCUGCAGAUUUGAAUGGAAUGGGUUGCACCUCAACCAACUCUUCCAAAAUAGCAACAAUUUUUUCUCCUAUUUUGAAUAAUGUUGAAGUCCAAUGCCAUCCUAUUAUUGAACACGAUCCAGGGAGCAAACUUGAUCCAAAUAUACCAGGAAUGGAAACUGAUGAAGGGAAAAAUAGCAGAAGCUCACAUGACAGUCAAACCUGUGACAUAUCAGAUUUUUUUAUUUCUGACAUGAUAGUUGCGAACUUACCUUUAUGUGGAAAUGAUGACAUUUGCGACAUCAAUUAUUUUCAUGACUACAAAUAUACUCAGUCGGCUGUAUUGUCUGAUGUUGCUGAUCAGUAUAUGAUACUGCCUUUCCUUGAGGACACCAUGAAAUUCAGCAAUUCAGAUGAUGCUAAAUGUUCUGAUGAAUCAGCUAUUGGUUCUGGUAAUUCUAGUUUGUACCGUGUAAUUGAUCAAAGGAAUAAUUUGAGCCUUGAAUUCAGUGUUAGCUCAGACUCAGAUCAGACAGAGUGUUUUGAUCCCCAGUUGUUCAUAAAAAAAUUUACCAGAACUUUCAGAAGUGAUUUCAAACUUUCAGCCUAGUAUAUUGCCCAAUGAAGAUCGAAAAAGAAAAGCUGUGACCCUUGUACUUGAUUUGGAUGAAACAUUAGUUCACUCUACUUUGGAACCGCAGGAUGAUGCAGACUUCCGCUUUACUGUCUGCUUGAACAUGAAAGAGCACAUUGUAUAUGUCAAACGGAGGCCAUAUCUUCAAAUAUUUCUGGACCGUGUUGCAGAGAUGUUUGAAGUUGU
rnacentral:misc_RNA from 1 species